UCUUAGACAUAAAUAAACCUCUCGUUUACCAGAGUACUACGAGCUAUUAACUUAAAACUCAAAGAGCUUGGCGGUGCUUUAGACUUUUCAGGGGAACCUGUCUCAUAAUCGACAAUCCACGAACUUACCUCACCUUUUCUUGCAACCAGUAUGUAUACCGUCGUCGGCAGGUAACUUUUUAAAAUACAGAAGUUAGCAAACAAAACCUUUUCGUUUACACGUCAGAUCAAGGUGCAACCUAUGAAAAGGAGAUGAUGGGUUACAAUUAAAACUUAUAAUUACGAACAUUAACUUUUAAAAGUUUUUUGAAGGAGGACUUGAAAGUAAAAUUUAGCAAUUAAAUUUUUUGAAUUAGGCUCUG
rnacentral:rRNA from 1 species